UCCUUCGACGAUACCUACCACUGUACUGUCGUCGCCUGCUUGCAACGGUAGGAACGGUAGUAGUGGAGAAUUGCUGUGG
rnacentral:pre_miRNA from 1 species